rnacentral:misc_RNA from 1 species
GUUCGAGCGUCAUUGCAACCCUCAAGCAUUGCUUGGUAUUGGAUGCCACCACUGUGGUGCGUCUCAAAAGUAUUGGCGGUGGCAUUCAGCUUCUAGCGUAGUAAAUCUUCUCGCCUUGGAGUUUGAGUGUCUGACUGCCAGAACCCCUAAAUUUAUCAAAGGUUGACCUCGGAUCAGGUAGGGAUACCCGCUGAACUUAA